rnacentral:tRNA from 1 species
AGGCUUGUAGCUCAGGUGGUUAGAGCACCCCUGAUAAGGGUGAGGUCGGUGGUUCAAGUCCACUAGGCCUACCA